rnacentral:rRNA from 1 species
CGCCUGGGGAGUACGGGUGAGGUAACGGCUCACCAAGGCAUCGACGGGUAGCUGGUCUGAGAGGAUGAUCAGCCACACUGGGACUGAGACACGGCCCAGACUCCUACGGGAGGCAGCAGUAGGGAAUAUUGCACAAUGGGCGAAAGCCUGAUGCAGCAACGCCGCGUGCGGGAAGAAGGCCCUAGGGUUGUAAACCGCUUUCAGCAGGGAAGAAAAUGACGGUACCUGCAGAAGAGGGUGCGGCCAACUACGUGCCAGCAGCCGCGGUGACACGUAGGCACCAAGCGUUGUCCGGAUUUAUUGGGCGUAAAGAGCUCGUAGGCGGUUCAGUUAGUCGGGUGUGAAAACUCUGGGCUCAACCCAGAGACGCCACUCGAUACUGCUGUGACUAGAGUGCGGUAGGGGAGCGGGGAAUUCCUAGUGUAGCGGUGAAAUGCGCAGAUAUUAGGAGGAACACCAGUGGCGAAGGCGCCGCUCUGGGCCGUAACUGACGCUGAGGAGCGAAAGCGUGGGUAGCAAACAGGAUUAGAUACCCUGGUAGUCCACGCCGUAAACGUUGGGCACUAGGUGUGGGUCUCAACCAACGAGAUCCGCGCCGUCGCUAACGCAUUAAGUGCCCCGC